UCGUGAUAUGCUUGUCUCAAAGAUUAAGCCAUGCAUGUGUAGGUAUAACCUGUAUACCGGAAAACUGCGAAUGGCUCGGUAAAUCAGUUAUAGUUUAUUUGAUAGUGCAACUACUCGGAUAACCGUAGUAACACUAGAGCUAAUACGUGCGUAAAUCCCGACUUUCGGAAGGGACGUAUUUAUUAGAUCCAUGGCUAACCGGGCUUGCCCGACCAGCGGUGAAUCAUGGUAACUUGACGGAUUGCAUUGGCCUCCGUGCCGGCGACGUGUCAUUCAAGUUUCUGCCCCAUCAGGUUUCGACUGUAGUGUAUUGGACUACAGUGCCUAUAACGGGUAGCGGAGGAUUAGGGUUCGAUUCCGGAGAGGGAGCCUGAGAAACGGCUACCACAUCCAAGGAAGGCAGCAGGCGCGCAAAUUACCCAAUCCCAACUUAGGGAGGUAGUGACAAGAAAUAGCAAUGCGGGGCCAUUGUGUUCUGCAAUUGGAAUGAGAACAACCUAAACCACUUAACGAGUAUCAAUUGGAGGGCAAGUCUGGUGCCAGCAGCCGCGGUAAUUCCAGCUCCAAUAGCGUAUAUGUAAGUUGUUGCGAUUAAAAAGCCCGUAGCUGAACCUCGGGGAGCCGUGACGGUCCGCCUAUGGUGAGUACUGUCGUCGGCUCUCUUUCUGUUGGGUGCUGUAUCCGGCGUUAACUCGCCGCGAACGGAGCCCAG
rnacentral:rRNA from 1 species